rnacentral:tRNA from 1 species
GCAGGUAUAGCUCACAUGGAAGAGCAUUUGCCUGCAAAGUACAAAGCCCUGAGUUCAAACCCCAGUGCCAUCA